rnacentral:rRNA from 1 species
CAAGUCGAACGGAUCCUUCGGGAUUAGUGGCGGACGGGUGAGUAACACGUGGGAACGUGCCUUUUGGUUCGGAACAACUCGGGGAAACUUGAGCUAAUACCGGAUACGCCCUUCGGGGGAAAGAUUUAUCGCCAUUAGAGCGGCCCGCGUCUGAUUAGCUAGUUGGUAGGGUAAAGGCCUACCAAGGCUACGAUCAGUAGCUGGUCUGAGAGGAUGAUCAGCCACAUUGGGACUGAGACACGGCCCAAACUCCUACGGGAGGCAGCAGUGGGGAAUCUUGCGCAAUGGGCGAAAGCCUGACGCAGCCAUGCCGCGUGAAUGAUGAAGGUCUUAGGAUUGUAAAAUUCUUUCACCGGGGAAGAUAAUGACUGUACCCGGAGAAGAAGCUCCGGCUAACUUCGUGCCAGCAGCCGCGGUAAUACGAAGGGGGCUAGCGUUGCUCGGAAUUACUGGGCGUAAAGGGAGCGUAGGCGGACAGUUAAGUCAGUGGUGAAAGCCCAGAGCUCAACUCCGGAAUUGCCUUUGAUACUGAUUGUCUUGAGUAUGGGAGAGGUGUGCGGAACUCCGAGUGUAGAGGUGAAAUUCGUAGAUAUUCGGAAGAACACCAGUGGCGAAGGCGGCACACUGGCCCAUUACUGACGCUGAGGCUCGAAAAGCGUGGGGAGCAAACAGGAUUAGAUACCCUGGUAGUCCACGCUGUAAACGAUGAGUGCUAGUUGUCGGCAUGCAUGCAUGUCGGUGACGCAGCUAACGCAUUUAAGCACUCCGGCCUGGGGAGUACGGUUC